CUCCCAUAAAAUAUAUAUUGAUCCAGUGUACCAUGAUGCAUUGCAAAACCCCAGCAUUUAAUAACGGCUCACUGUAAUCUAUAUACACAUAUUCAAAGGCGUAAUUAAUAAUGUAUUUUCUGCUAUGAUAAGUCUAAUUAAAAAAAAAAUCACUUCAAUUAUUUUUCAAAUUAAUAAUGUAAUGCUUCGAUUAUUAUAAAAUAUUAUCGCUUCUGUUACAUAUGGUCUUACCAACAUGGACUAAGCUUCAUUAAAUCGUAUGCUUAUUAAUGACCGUAUUCAUAGUUUGCAGGAGUUACACCACAUGAAAAUGAAGGGGUUUAUUUACCACAUGAUGGAUUGUGCUUUAUUGCAAACCUAAUUGAAAUUGUUGGUACUGAAACAAUAACUAAUUGGUAUUUUUUCAAUUUGGUUAUUUUGGCUUUGCGAAAACAUCCCUGAGAAUUGGUGAUUUCUGAGCUACACUUGCCAUUAAGGAUUACAAAUGGUAACAAAAG